UUUAUCAAUCGGACGCUGGAGAUAACUCAAGGUACAAUGUCAACGGUCAUCCCGUCAACUGAUUUCUAGUUAUAUUUUUGCCAAAUUCUCUUAAUAAUCAUCAAUGGCUUCUUCUGCUUCAACUAUUUAUCAUCACACGAAAAUGUCUCUGAUAAAUCGAAGGUUUGCAGUUAUAGGCUUGAUUGUCCUGCUGAGCUUUACUGUCUUCAGUGAAGCUGAAGCAUCAUAUGGAGUUUACAAAGUCAAAGUCAUCAACGAAUUCCCUCACGACCCCGAAGCUUACACUCAGGGGCUUCUCUAUGCAGAAAAUAACACACUCUUUGAAUCAACUGGACUCUACGGACGUUCAUCUGUUCGAAAAGUUGCGCUGCUGAACGGUAAGGUUGAAACUAUUCAUGAAAUGCAGUCUUCUGACUUUGGGGAAGGUUUAACUCUUCUUGGUGAGAGGUUGUUCCAACUAACAUGGUUGCAGGAUACCGGUUUCAUAUAUGAUCGAUACAACUUUAGCAAAUUCAAAAAGUUUACUCAUCACAUGCAAGAUGGUUGGGGAUUGGCAACUGAUGGGAAAGUGCUUUUUGGAAGUGAUGGAACAUCAACAUUAUAUAAGAUUGACCCUAAGACGAUGAAAGUUGUCAGAAAACAAAUUGUCAAGUCUAAAGGGCAUGAAGUGAGCUACCUCAAUGAGCUGGAGUAUGUGAAAGAUGAAGUCUGGGCAAAUGUCUAUAUGACUGAUUGCAUUGCUAGAAUUUCACCAAAAGAUGGCACUGUGAUCGGGUGGAUUUUCCUUCAAUCUCUAAGGGAAGAUUUAAUAUCAAGAGGCUAUAAGGACUUUGAGGUCCUGAAUGGAAUCGCAUGGGACAGAGAUAGUGACCGGAUUUUUGUGACAGGGAAAUUAUGGCCAAAGAUAUUCGAGAUCAAGUUGCUCCCCCUCCCACCAAAUGCUCCAUUAAUUGGAGAAAUCAAUAACUUGUGCAUCCCAGAAGCAUUCUAUCUUGGAAAAUUAGAGAGCUGAUUAUGUUUAUCCUUUCUCAUGUAAAGUAUCAGUGGGGAAAGGACAAUCAAUUUUCUUAUCAGGCAACAGAGCACACGGCUGAGGACUGACUUUGCUAGAAACACCUUGUAUAUUACUGCAGUUCCAUUGUAGUUUCUUAGCAUGUUCUGACAACUCGAUGGCCACAUUUGAUAUGCAAAUUCCAUUGAAGGAAGUGCUUUCGGAUCAUAAUGAUCGUCAGGAUGAGACCCAUAAUCGCCCGUCAUCCAAAAGCAGUUUUGAUCCUCAGUCCUGAUUCAGAACUAAUUGCUGCAAUGUUUUCAGCUCUAACAUCUUGAAUGCCACCGGACAUUUCGCUUCCGAGAGCAAUGACUGCACUAUCAGGAGAUAUGCAGGUGAGGUUUCUUAUGAUUAGGUGCUUUGUAGGCAUUCCAAAUGAUAUUCCAUAUUCAUCCCAACCACUUUUCACUGCUAUGCAAUCAUCCCCUGAGACUAUGAAGCAAUCUUCAAUUCUUGUGUUGGAACAAGAAUCUGCACAACCAAAAAUGAAUAGGUAACUACUUCACUAGAGGAUGUCGUUUUCUCACAUAUUUACUGGCGUCUGUUCUUGUGACAAACCUGGGUCGAUUCCAUCUGUGUUUGGUGAAUCAAUUGGUGCUAGGAUUGUUAAUCCCUUAAUUACCACAAAACUGCAAUUUUUGAAGAAAGAAGAAUUAGAAUCAAAGAGUACAUAUCAAAGUAAGUUAAGAAGCACCGCUAGGGAGUGUGGUGGGAUGAUAAGAUCUCAGCACCCUUAACCAGAUGCCUAGUUCGUCCCUUGAGAAUGGAGAAACUCCUGGUAGGCAGGUUUUCCUUUAGUGGGCUCCACGUGGCACAAAUCCAAAGAUGGCCACGCGAAUUAUAAAAGGAUAUGAUAUAAAUAAAUGAGAGGAACAAGAAAGCAAACCUGCUGUAAACAGGAUGGACAUUCCAUGAAGGAGAAUUGAUCAAUGUAAGAUUGGAAAUCUGAACAUGAUCAGAAAACAUGAUCUCAAUCAGGUAAGGUCGGGUGCUUUUCAGUUGACCUUGUCGAAAUUUAGUCCACCACUGUUGGCCUUGACCAUCUAUGGUGCCAUUUCCACCUAAUCAUCAUCAGCAUACAUAUAAAACAAUUAACAUUGUUGGCAUUAGUGUCUGAAGUAUUAUGGAUCCAAACAGAGGAUUUGUGAUAUUGAGGAUUCAUACGUCCAAUCCCAAUUAGCUUCAGACUGAGGCGUAGUAAUUGUUGUACUUGGCAUAUUAUUUUGUCUUGAUAGUACAAAGAGGAUAUUUACCUGUAAUGACUACAUCAGUCAAGUUUGUUCCAAAAAUGAGACUGAUAAACCUUGGUCCUGGAGUAUCUCUUCCUACUCCAUAAGAUGGCAAUGGUGGAACUAAAUCCCACUCUGCCUCAUCCUGUACAAACAAUCACAUAUGUGUAUUCUAACAACAAGUGUUGCAUCUUAAGUAAAGUUAAGAAUUUCGUUAAGUUUAUCCAAGAUUCAUUAUAUAUGUAUAAAACAGUAAAGUUUGAUCUAUAUAAUUAGUAUGUGGCUA